UUUUAGGUAAAAUUCCAAGCUAUUCAGCACCUGCUAAAUGGAUAUUUGAGCCCUGCCCUUCCCAAAAUCCUGGCUACGCCACUGAUAGCUAUGUUCCUCGUUUUAUUGUGCUCACUGAGUGUAUAGUAAUACUAAUCAAUAACAACCUCCCACCCUCACUCCAUGCUUUUACUAUGUCAAGUUAGGGAAACAUAUCAAGUCUUUCUCUCCCAGCCCUCUCUCCCUAAGCCACUCCAUUAGCUCCUCAGUUGACAUGUCAAGGUGAACAUUUCCUCUUGACUGUUCAGCCAUGAUGGUAGAUCUACCAGCAAAUUGUGUGUGUUACAAUGCCUAGCCCCUAAGUUGCUGUUUGAAAGGUCAGCCCAUGCAUAAAAUUAUUUAUGCAUGGUCAAUCCCUUGGUUACAGGAACCACACAUAUUCAUUCACAAUGCAUUGUUUAUCAAAGAAACAUUGAUCUAAGCAUUCACAUCAGAAUAACCCAACUCAUGGAUCAGUAUGUUAAAUUACAUUGCAUUGAUGAGCAAAGGCAAUGUUAAUUGGAGGGCACACACGAAACACAACCAAUGUUGUUCAGGUCUAUCAUCAUCUAUAGCCUAUCACAAAAUUGCAUGCACAUUGAAAUAAAAAAAGGUGAUUUUAGAUUUAACACUGUUCUGUUGUGAAAGCAGUUUUAGGAGCAGCCACUGAACCUGACUCAUGCCAGCACUCAUUCAGGUAGGUGUCCCAGGAGAACGAGCGAUGAUACCCUGAGGGGACAGAGAGAAGGAGAGAGGUAAUUGCAUGCAUUAGAUAGAAUACACCUUUUUACUGGGCAUGAUAAUUAUUAUCUUCUAGCGUGAUUGAAAUAUGCAUGUACGUAUUUACUUGAAGAAAAUACUUUGGUAGGUAUUCAUUAAUUGCUAUUCCAUGGACACUGAUUAAGAUCACAGGGCAAAUAGAUUCACCAUUGGGAAUUUGCAGGUGGUGGUGGUGAGAGGCACACCAGCCGAUGGGAUGGAUGUCAGGAGUGGUAGGAUCACACCAGUAGUCGUACUUUGAGGACCAACCAUCAAAGUGAAUCAGUAGCUGGCCGUUCUUGACUUCAGUGAUGGUGGCCACACACACCAUUGUCGGAUUCUUCCUGUCCUUGGCUUCUAGCUUCAUGCCUGCCUUGAACUGAUUAACAACACUGGAUUGUGGUGAUUUGGCUACGGGAGUAUGGACCUGCAGUAAACAAAAAUCCUUCGUAAAACAAAAUGAUGAAUCUAAUACUGGUCAUAUACAAUAGCAUAAGAUAGGAUCUGUUGAUAUAGUGUAAACAUUUGAGCAGCUACAAUUGUGUGCAUGCAUGUCGUGAGAAAAUAUCGUGUUCUCUUGCAUUUAAAAAACUUGUCAAUACAUUCCAUGAUAAACAUUGGACCCAGUGUAUAUUAAAAAGACAAUUGGCAUGCAAUGGUUGACAGCACACCAAUGCAUACACUCACAUCUGAGAACAGGUGGCUAGGAGCAGCAGUGGACGCAGUACUGGAGAGAUAGUCCGUCCAAUCAAAAGAGCCGGAGUGACCUGAAGAGAACAAAACAAUCAUCUGACUAACACCUAUAUGCAGUGUGUACAGUGCAUGUGUACGGUACUAUAGUCUCGUGGGCCAUACCUCAAAAACUGAUACUACGUAUGGUGACUAGCCAGGUUUUUGUGUCGAGUUUUGGAAUUUCGAAACGAUGGCAUUUCAAGAAUUUCCACACAAAAAUGUACCUCAAACAUUCAAAAGGGGCGUGGUUUACAUCGUCCGCCAUCGCUAAAAGUUGACAAGCUACACUCUGAGCUACACAUGCAGUCACUCUAUACUAACUGUAUAAGUGUUGGUUGUACAAACAUGCACUCUAGACUAUUGCUUUCUUGAAUAUCUAGCUGACGGAUAGCUGCAGUCAAGAGUGAAAAGAAAGAAUAGGGAGCCUGCAAAACUAUGAUAUAGGCCCUAAAUGUGUGGAAAUUAUAGCAAUAGACAACGUUUUUCUUGUAUGUGCAUGCAGCUCUACAGAUCUAGAUCUACAAUAAUAUUAUUAUUGUUGUGUAUCAAUCAUCUGUCUUGAUAUAAUUAUUAUGUUUACAUGAUAGCUUCUUCCAUUUUUCAGUCGCUGUAGAGUAGUGUCUAUAAUUCUACUACUUCUGUGGAGAAAGGCUGUGGGUUUUUGUACACGGUUAAUGCAGGAUGCAAUAACUAAAUUCCACUGCGACACAAAAACCUGGCUAUGUAUAUAUAGUAUCCGUUUUUGAAGUAUGGCUCGCGAGACUAUAUAUGUUUACGGCGAGGGGGUUGAAGGUGAUGUCCCUGUGCCUGACACCAGCCAAUGGGAUGGAUGUCAGGAGUGGUAGGAUCACACCAGUAGUCAUAAGCGUUAGUCCAUCCGUCAAAGUGGAUCAAUAAUUUGCCAUUAUUCACUUCGGUGAUGGUGGCCACACACACCAUUGUCGGAUUCUUCCUGUCCUUGGCUUCUAGCUUCAUGCCUGGCUUGAACUGA